CCUACGGGCGGCAGCAGUGGGGAAUAUUGCACAAUGGGCGCAAGCCUGAUGCAGCCAUGCCGCGUGUGUGAAGAAGGCCUUCGGGUUGUAAAGCACUUUCAGCGGGGAGGAAGGCGUUAAGGUUAAUAACCUUGGCGAUUGACGUUACCCGCAGAAGAAGCACCGGCUAACUCCGUGCCAGCAGCCGCGGUAAUACGGAGGGUGCAAGCGUUAAUCGGAAUUACUGGGCGUAAAGCGCACGCAGGCGGUCUGUCAAGUCGGAUGUGAAAGCCCCGGGCUCAACCUGGGAACUGCAUUCGAAACUGGGAGGCUAGAGUGUAGUAGAGGGGGGUAGAAUUCCAGGUGUAGCGGUGAAAUGCGUAGAGAUCUGGAGGAACACCGGUGGCGAAGGCGGCCCCCUGGACAAAGACUGACGCUCAGGUGCGAAAGCGUGGGGAGCAAACAGGAUUAGAUACCCCAGUAGUC
rnacentral:rRNA from 1 species